UUUAAUUCCUAGAAUAUUUUAAAUAAAUUUUUUAAAUAAUAAUAUCCAGUAAGAGAAAUUUCCCACAGAUGGCGCAGGUACGAUGGUAGUAGCAUCAGCAUGUCUGUAAUAACUACCGCAAUAUUUGCGCAAUUAUAUUAUUAUUAUUUGGUCAAUACGACGAUUUCGCUGUACGAUAGACUUCGGCGUUAUUUACGCGUGUAAAUUACUUAAAAUGGUUACGAAAUUAGUCAAAAUUUUAAGAUUACGAUAAUAAAUAUGUAUAGCUCCAACAGCAGAUUUUUAAGACAGAUAUCUGGAAGAAAAGUUUGCGUAUCCGUCGAUAAUUUAUCACUUUUAUUAAUUAAAAGGUGACGGUUGACAGUUUACGGCAGUCUGCAUUGCGGUAAAGCAGAUAAAAACAACUAAUUAUCAUAAACUUAUCUUCAAAAUUAUUAACACGACAAUAAAUUCAGUUUUUUUUUUUUAAUUGAAAAAAAAGGACAUACCGGACUUUGCAGUUUGUCGGGAUACAUAUCGUCGAGAACAAAUUAAAAAAACAAUAAAAAAAAAGGAUUCGAAUAAAUUUAAAUAAGAUAAAUAUUAAUAUUUUUGUUUUGCUGUUUAUGAAUGUUUACUUUUUUGUGUUUUUGUUUAUAUCCGGAGUUAUUCUGCAAUGCGGUGUAGUUAACGCCAUCUGGUGUAUGAAUUUAUUCAUAAAUUGGGAGAAUUUGAUUAGCAAAUCUCCGGAGAGAGUAAAAGAUACGGAUUUAUUUUUAAUUACUUCAAACGGGAACAUUAAUUAAAAUUACGCUUUUAAUUCGAUUAAAAUCGUUCGUCUAAUUAUAGAAAAGACUAAAUCUCGUUUCGGAGCGGUUGGAUGGCCAUUAACCGCGCCAGUCACGUGAUUAGAUUUUUGGAGAAAAGCGAAACGUGAAGAGAUGGCAGCCAUUCGCCACCGAGAAUUUAAAACUUUAAAAAAACGAUAAGGCGUACUGUUAUUGGUUGUUCAACCCCGUACGCUCGUUUUGAAAAUUUAUUUUAUCCGGUGGGUGAUUGGUGGAAAUCCAUUUCGUCAGCCGGAAAUUCGAAAAUUUUGUUUUAUAAUAAUUCUUCAAAUUAAUCUCCGAAUAUAUUGCGAUAGACUACGUCAUGCAGAUUAAAACACGAAAACGAUGGUUCGAAUGGAGUUAAAAAUUAAUUAAACGUAUCCUAAAUGGAACGUAUAUUAAAAUAUCGAUUUACGGGAUUUAGAUAAAUCAAAUUCAAUAUGGCGUCGAGCUUAUGGUACGACUUAAAACAGAUUUCGUCUUCAAUUAAUUUCAAUUUAGCGUAGUAAACAAUGAGUUGAUUUAUCGAGAGACUCCCGAUAGAACAGCUGCAAAUGAAAUGAAACGUUCGACAUUACAAUAAGUAAUCAGCGCCCCAAUAGGAUUUAUAUUGGAUUUGCCAUUAGGAGAAGAAAGAAAAAAAAAAAAAACACAUUUAUAUAUAUACAUAUAAAAAAAAAAACAGGAUCAAUUUUUGAAAAUGAAGACACGUUUUGCCAGUUUAAAUUACCGGCUAAGUCUACUUGUAUACGAUCUUUCUGGUAACUCCAAAACAAUACUUAAAAUAUUAAACGAACCGGGCCUUCGGAAUAAACUAUUCCAAAAAAAAAAGGAACAAUUCGGAAAAAUAAUGGAUCCAUCAAAUUCGAUUAAAGAAGGUAACAAAAGAUAUAUAAUGCAAUUGCCUAAAAAACUUCUACAACCAACGACAAAACACAAUUUAUUUCCUGAAGAGAAAAAGGCAUUUUCCGAAAACUGCCUUGCAUAAAAUUGCCAAAGGCACUUUUAAUUACCGACUUUAAUGCCACGCCGCGACGUCAUUAGUGUUAUUGUUGUAUAUUAGUCAAGAUUUAGAACGACCACCACAUAAUCGGUUACUGAUUAGGUAAUUUUAGUAAAACUGAAUAUUAAUUCCCUCAGAGUGCUGCUGCUGCUGCUGCUGCUGAUGAUGAUGCUCGGUCGUACUCUGUCAAAUUAUCAUUAACUCUUACUACUAGACAACUAAUUUUUUUUAUUUUUUAAAUAAAAUUACAAAUUUCGGUCAGAGUUGGAUAUUAACAAUAGGG
rnacentral:lncRNA from 1 species